AACGAGGCCGACCUGCGGCUGAGUUACCUGCGGAAGGAUCAUUAUCGAGUUGCAAAACUCCAACCCUGUGAACAUACCUCAGUCGUUGCUUCGGCGGUUUUUUCAGACUCCAAGGGUCUGAAAGCCGCCGGAGGUUCCAAACUCUUGUUUUUAUCAGUGUAUCUCUGAGCCUUAAAACAAUAAUCAAAACUUUCAGCAACGGAUCU
rnacentral:misc_RNA from 1 species